GACGAACGCUGGCGGCGUGCCUAAUACAUGCAAGUUGAGCGAUGAAGAUUGGUGCUUGCACCAAUUUGAAGAGCAGCGAACGGGUGAGUAACGCGUGGGAAAUCUGCCUUUGAGCGGGGGACAACAUUUGGAAACGAAUGCUAAUACCGCAUAACAACUUUAAACAUAAGUUUUAAGUUUGAAAGAUGCAAUUGCAUCACUCAAAGAUGAUCCCGCGUUGUAUUAGCUAGUUGGUGAGGUAAAGGCUCACCAAGGCGAUGAUACAUAGCCGACCUGAGAGGGUGAUCGGCCACAUUGGGACUGAGACACGGCCCAAACUCCUACGGGAGGCAGCAGUAGGGAAUCUUCGGCAAUGGACGAAAGUCUGACCGAGCAACGCCGCGUGAGUGAAGAAGGUUUUCGGAUCGUAAAACUCUGUUGGUAGAGAAGAACGUUGGUGAGAGUGGAAAGCUCAUCAAGUGACGGUAACUACCCAGAAAGGGACGGCUAACUACGUG
rnacentral:rRNA from 1 species